AAAGGCCAGUCGUUUCGAAUUGUUUGUCAUCAGUGGGAUUAAAAGCUCAGUAAUUUCUCGGCAAUCAAUAGAAUUGAAGCCGUUUAUUUUUCUUUGCAAUCAGUGGAAUGGAAUCUUAUAUUGAUCUUUCCAGGAAAAAUUGGAAGUAAUUAGUUUCUUUUUUUUUUGGCUCACUCAGUGGUGAAAAUUCGUAAGUAUUGUAGAAAGUUAUUGUGUUGUUUGACAACACAGGUAAGUUCCUAAUUAGAAGCUCAACGUUAUUCCUUUCAAAGAUGAGUUUUUUUUUUCUAUGUCGAUUUGAUUUGAUUGCUAUUUUUUUUUUGUUCUGUGACUAUGAGUUUAAAUUGAGAUUUUGUCUUCAGAUUCAGUUCUUGAAGUUGUUGAUCUGGGCUUAUUGAAAUUGCUGUGCAGAAACCCCUAUUGCUCUUUCUAAUGGAUGAGUAAGUUGUUCUACAGCUUAAAUUUCUUUUAUUUCGUAUUUGGUUGGCUUAUAAUUAAGAAUUUUUUAUGGAUUCGUUAGCAAAAGCCAUUUGAGCCACUCCCUAAUAAUAUUCUCAUGAAGUCCAUUUAUGUUCAUAAAUGUUAUUUCUUACACUUUUCUUAUGAUUUUCCGUCUACAUGGUCACCACUCACCUGUACUAAUUUAACUGCUACUGCUAAAUAUCCUCGAAACUGUUUUACUGCAGUUUAGCUCUGUAUAUUCAAAUAUCUACUUCUUUCCAAUGUCCUUGGGAAGAAAUUCAACUAAUUGGACACAACUAAAAUUUCAGCACCCUACUGUAUUCAUUUUGAGAUUUCAUGCUUUCCUGUCAAUAGAGUUCUAUGUAAAACAAAUCAAGCAAAAUAUAUUCUAUUAACAGAAAGAUGAAAAUCACCACAUAUAAAGAUAUGUUAGCACGAAUAGACUCCCAAAGGCCUAACAAGAGCAAAUGUCGGCGUACAUUCACCACAAAUAUGAGACGAUGUAGAGGCAUCAAGCUGAAGAGUUGCAAAAUCUGCCUAAACCAUUAAGAUCCAGUACAGGUCAACAUCUUUUCAAUAAAACUCUUCGGAAAGUUUAUAUUUUAAAAGAAGCAUCGGCUUAUGGUUAAGUUGGUAAGCAUUUCUAUAUGAUUACACUAUCAUCGUUUUAUCGCACCUUUACAUAUAGCAGUAUAGAGAUAAAUAUUUCAAUGCCGAUUACUUAAAUUAAAAAAAAAAACAAAACAAAGUAUUCUCCGCCAAAAGACUUAGGUAUCAUUUUCAAAUUAGGGGUUUGUACUGAUGUAAUUUUCAACUUAAUUUUGAUUUUUGUUAUAAUUUUCAAGCCCAGGAUAUACACAAAAUUCCUUCUUCGUCAUUUGGUACAAUCCAGGUAUUAGUCAGUGCUAUUUUGCUUCUUUGUUGAUUUAACAUUUUUUGUUUUUUCGCAAUUUGCAGUUAAUUUUUUUUUAAUUUAUGUUUUUUAUGUUUAUUAUCCAGUUUUUUUUCUUCAUUUUUAAGGGCUUUUGCUCUCCCAUGAUCCCAUCUGGAGUAUUUUGAUAUAAUUUGUACAAUCACUCAAGUGAUUAAUUGGAAGUGCCAAUUCUAAGGAAAUCAAGUAAUGUUAUGGAUUUAGUAGAUUUUUUUUUUAUUGAUCCAUGUUUGAUAGUAUGCAUAGAACUACCGAUUAGCUUAAGGAGUUUCCAGAGCCUGUGAUUCUACCAAGCUUCAAUUUUUUAUGAAUUUCCAUUUUUGAGAUGAACUGUCUGCUUAAAUGCACCAAAGAGAUGAACCUAGAUAGAACAAUAUAGGCUUCAUAUAUAGUAGCUUCAUUUUUUAUAUUCCUUUUUAACGGCACUAAGCGGCAUCUAGGUCGGUUGCAUAUAGGGAGUUGUAUUUUCUGUGUUUGAAUAGAAUGUUUAUGGGUUAGUAAUGAAGAAUCCACUAUUGAAGCGUAAUAUAACUCGUAGGACUACAUAAUCAUGUACCUUAAUUUCUACGUUUGAAGAUCACGAAGACAUGGUGUAUAUAUAUGAAUUUGGAGUAUUGUUAAUGGAUAGUCAUAUUCUUUUACUUUUUGUUAUGGUUUCCUGGUUACCAUUUCAUAUUUCUUAUUUUUCAAACAGUCCAAUAAAAACAAGCUAUCAUAGUUUAAAUCAAAUUGAUUUGUUUGUGAUACAUACUUGAUUUGUUUGUGAUACAUACUUCAGCUCUAUGUUAUGUUUUUCAAACUUAUCAAUUUAGAAUCACAAAGACAUCCCAGUUUCAUAGAGCAUAUAACCUUAUACUUUAUCACAUAAUAUAGCAAGAAUGUUAUUUGAUUACUUCGCCUUAGUAGCUUUUUGAUGUGAUCUCAGUUUUUUGUUAUCAGUGAUGUAGUGAUUUAUAAUGGCAUCUCAAUACCGGUAUAUGUCUCUCAAGAAAAAACCAAUUACCAGGUAUAUGAUUAUCAACUGGAUACCUGAAAUGGCAAAGGGAAACCAUUUCAGAUUCAAGUUAGGCUCAACUGUAAGUGGGAUAUAGUUGGCUUCAAGGAUACCAAAGAGGUUACCAGUUUUAAUUUAUUGUUGCUCGACCCAAACGUAAGUUACCUAUAUAUUUUUCGGUUUCUUUUUUCUUCCUAUACGAAUAAAAUAUUUUUCAAACUUCAUCAUUGCUCUCUGGAUUUCCGGAACUUCGUCAUUGCUCUCUGGAUUAGGUGCCCUGUUUGUUGGCAUACAGUUAGAAUUUUGCAUCUUUUUCUUUCUUUUUGUUCUUCUUCAUGGUUUUGAACAAUUUAUUACUUAUAUUCAAGUGAUGCCUUUUGGUUUUUUAUCAGUAUGGAAUAUGAUGAGGGACGAUCUAAGUUAACAAUCAAUGUACAAGAAUGCAUUUUCUUGAAUAUCAAGAGAACAUAUUAUUGGUGCCACCAGUUUGAUUCUUGCUUCGCCAGAAUCUCCACCUUUUUUCUCCCACGGAUUUUGCACAUACCUUUACUUUUCCGGUGAGUAAAAGUCUAGAAAAUCCGAUGAUGCCAGGUUUGUGCCACUAAGCUGACUAAUUCAAGGAUUUAUGCAAAAGCUUGGUGGAUCGAGGUCCCAGUCACAAACAUUUUAGAAUUUUCGAUUAAUUUAUACUUUCAGAUCAGAGGAUACAAUAUUUCUAAAUAAUAUGUACGAAUACAUGUAUUCACUUUCGUCUGACAUGGAGUGGAAGUUGCUAAUUCGUUUGCAGAAUCUAUAUUUUUGCAGAUUGUUAAGCCAAUGGAAGAGGAGUCAGGAGGCACAACCUCAAAGAGAUGUGUAAGACCACACAAUAAUCUUCUGAGUAUAAAAAUCUUACGUCUCAAUUCAGAUAGAAAAGAAAAUGUAAUUGUAAGAAAUACAAAGAAAUGAAAAUGUAUUUUGUAAGAAAUACAUAAAGAUGAAAAAAUAGUUUCAUUCAUGGCUAGAAUUAUAUUUUUUGCA